rnacentral:misc_RNA from 1 species
GGAAGUAAAGUCGUAACAAGGUCUCCGUUGGUGAACCAGCGGAGGGAUCAUUACCGAGUUUACAACUCCCAAACCCCUGUGAACAUACCUAUCGUUGCCUCGGCGGUGCCCGCUCCGGCGGCCCGCCAGAGGACCCCCAAACUCUUGUUUUAUACAGUAUCUUCUGAGUAACACGAUUAAAUAAAUCAAAACUUUCAACAACGGAUCUCUUGGUUCUG